CUGCCACAGCCUGCCCUAGUGGCUGGGCCACUGUCUGCCUUGCUCCUGUGAUCCUGAUCAGCUUUCUGCCAGGCACAGGGGGAGGCCUGCCGGGCUGCCACUCUGCUGCCUUCAGAGAGGAGCGGGCUUGGCCAGCAGCCCUGCUGGACUGUUGUGGAGUCAUGUGACAGUUGCUAUGGUGCCUAGGCAGGGAAGAGUCCUGGAGAGCCUGUGGAGAGCGCUAGACAAAGGACCGGGUAACAAAGAAGUCACAACCUCCUCCCACACCAUGGGCCACGGCUUCCAGAUCAUCAAUAGCUUCGUGAGCUGCUGGGUCCCAGCUACCAAGGAAGAAGAGGAUCAGUCAUGGAAAGUUGUAGUCAUUCAAAGCUCUCCCCCUCAACUGCUUCAUCCGGCCAAAAUAAGCUUCUUGUGAGACAGAGAGCAAGAAUGUCCAGGGCAGCGGCUGGUGGUCCAUCCGUGACCCUACAGACAGGAUUUUGCAUAUACCCUGAUUAGAGAAUUGGGGAUUCAAACACAUGUUCUGAAGCGGCUCGGUGAGGCAAACUUCACUUCUGCCCGUGGGUGCACCACGGAACCUGGUGAGCAGGCAGCCUGGGCGGCCAUCCUGCUUUGAUCCCAAGACAGCACUGCUCCUGCCCUGCUAGGAGGAGCUCAGGAAGCAAAUAGCAGAAUACAGACGGGUCCACGAAGAUGGAGCUGACCCUAGAGGAAAGAGUAGAGGUAGGAGACAACCGUCAGCAAGGCAGGGCUGGGGCUGCAGCUCAGUCGUAGCGUGCUCGCCUAGCCCACGUGAGGCACUGGGUUCGAUC